UACGAAGGGGGCUAGCGUUGCUCGGAAUCACUGGGCGUAAAGGGUGCGUAGGCGGGUCUUUAAGUCAGGGGUGAAAUCCUGGAGCUCAACUCCAGAACUGCCUUUGAUACUGGGGACCUCGAGUCCGGGAGAGGUGAGUGGAACUGCGAGUGUAGAGGUGAAAUUCGUAGAUAUUCGCAAGAACACCAGUGGCGAAGGCGGCUCACUGGCCCGGUACUGACGCUGAGGUGCGAAAGCGUGGGGAGCAAACAGG
rnacentral:rRNA from 1 species